UUUUUUGUGUUUUUUUUUUAUCUGUCAUGCAGUAGUAGUAAAUAUAUAUAGUAUUUGCGGAUGCGAUUCGCAGGCAUUUAAUAAGUAGUUUUAAGUUUUGGUUGUUUGAUACAGCGAACUAACGAUAACCGUCUUUUCACCUUCAAUUAUUGUACAAUAGAGGCUAGCUAGCUUCCAGUGUUUCAAAUCGGUUAUUAUGAAGGAACUUUGUCAAGAAUUUGACAGCGGUUUCACAUUUGGUGUAUGAUCUCAUACCCUGAAUCAAGGAUCAUAAGUAGUUUUGUUGUACGUCCCCGAAAUUAAAGUAAUGAAGUAUUGAAUUUAUAAAAGCUUAGCUAUGGCGACGCCGUCCACUGAAUUUGCCCGAUUUCCUUUCGAAAACGUGAGAAAUUUACUUGGUGUAUUUCCACAGGGCCACGAAAAGGCUUUGAAACAUGCCUUCUACAAUGCUUUAGCAUUGGUGUUGUUAGUAGGAUGUGGUGGUGUUGCGUGGGCAUCUCUCGUCAUUUUGGAACCUUUUGUCAAACCACUCAUUUGGGCUCUACUGUGCGGUUCAGUUCUUCAUCCUCUGAAACGAUCUUUGGCAACAAACCUUUUCACAUGGCUAGAAAAUUUAGAGGCAUCCUCGGCACCUGUGCUGUUUGUGAUAUUGAUGACCCCAGUUAAAUUUGUAGAUCGCUUGUCUGAACGGAUCGGGAACUCGCUGAGUGCACACUUGAAGGUCAUUCUGUUGGUGGUGUGCACUGUGUGUUUAUUCCAGCUGUUGUAUUACUACACCCCUCAUUUCUGUGUAUGCUUUAUGGUGCAGCUAGGAAAGUACACAAGCAUUUUAAUAUUGUGGAUUAUACAACGAUUUAAUACACUUGUGGUGGUGUCUGUCGUGGCUGCGUACCUAGUCGCAGUAACAUUUUUCUGGAAACCAGAUUUGAGACAUGUGUUCUCCGUAGCUGCGCACAUAAUAUGGGUUUGCGUGUGCUGCUUCUUGGCCAAUCAGACCAGCGUGCUGCAGCUCCCUGCUUUCUUCUUCCUGCUGUUGCUCCUAUUGGCUGGGCUGCUCUACGAGGUGUGGCUUGUCCACAAGAGUGCUCUCGAGAAAGGCAGCGGCAUCAGCCUGGGAGAAGCAAUGCAGCGUGUGAUAGAGGGACCCGUCCCUCUCAAAGAGCCGGUCGCAAGUCAGGAGGUGCAGGGGCCGGCGGAAAGGAAGGAGCGGGAGGAACAACUCCUCCGGCCGACGGAUCUGCCCCUGGCGGGCGCGGUCGCCGACACAGACACGGACGCCCCUGUGGAGAGCCAGAGCGACGUGUACCUGUACGGCGUGGCGUGGGCCUGCGCGGCCAUGGUGGUGUGGAAGAACUCCUGGCUCUUGCAGCUCGUGCCGGUCUUACUCUUCAUAUACGUGGUCAAGAGGAUCGGUCACUCGACCGGCUUGUGGCAGUCCAUCUCAGGCCACGUGCAAGAUGCAGUCGCUGUGAUUGGUGGCUGGUGUGAAGAGAGACGCCUUGGGCUGCUGCCUCCUUCCGUCAGCGGCAUCGUCAAGAUUGGAGCGGAGAUGAAUGCCUCUCUGCUAGGCACGUUCAAGGAGUACGUGGACUCUACUGCUGCAGUUGUAGUCAUAUUCGGCCUCAUCAUUUUCACUACAACAACAACUAUAUUCAUUGCUGUGCAGGUGUACGCGGAGGGACUGCACAUGGUGCAGGUGAGUGCCAGCAUCGUCAACUCCACGCUGGUGCACAACGAGGAGCUGAUGAAGCUGCUGCCCCAGGGCUGGGAGGACACUCUGGACACCAUGCUCGACAACGCCUACUUGUACGGCCGCGACGGCAUCUCGCGCGUCGUGCGCAGCUGGCUGGAGGAGGUGGAGGAGGAGAAAGCCGUGCAAAUCGAGAAGCAGUUGCUGGAGCUGUGGGACCGCGUGUACCAGGCGUGGAUGAUGUCCGGGGCCGAGCCCUCGGCGGUGGGGCCGUCCGUCUCCAGCAGCGCUGUGUUUGCCAGCUGGGAGAACAUGCAGGACCUCGUCCAGAAGACGCCAGAGCUGUUCAACGUGAACGCGCUUAUAGCGUUCGCCAAGGAGAACUUGCAGACGGUGGUGUCGGUGCUGGAGUCUGUGUGGGCCAUCUGCAAGGGCAACCUCAGCCUCGCCCUCUACUCCUUCACAGCGCUCGUCUCCGUCAUUUUCGGGAGUGGCUUCGCUGUGCUUAACUUCCUCCUCAACGUGGUAGUGUUCCUGACUGCGUUGUUCUACCUGUUGAGCUCGAGUGGGGAGAUCUACAAGCCAGUCGACCUGCUCACCAACUUCAACUGCAACAGGCUGGCCGUGGCUCUGGAAGAGGCCAUCAAUGACGUGUUCAAGGCGUCCUUCAAGCUUGGCUUGUUUUACGGUCUGUGGACGUGGUUUGUCCACAACCUCUUCCAGGUUCAAGUAGUGUAUCUACCUGCAGUUCUUGCUGCAGUAUUUGGGGCAGUUCCGUUUGUUGGCACGUACUGGGCGGGCAUUCCGGCAGCCAUCGACCUUUGGCUCAUCAAGGACAGCGGACUGAGCGCCCUCCUCCUCAUGGCAUGCCACUUUCUGCCGACGUCCAUCGUCAACACUGCCUUCUACAUGGAGAUUAAGGGAGGAGGCCACCCGUACUUGACGGGCCUGGCCAUUGCAGGUGGCAUAUUCUGCCUUGGGUUCGAGGGAGCUUUGGUGGGACCCAUGGUGCUGUGCGUCUUGUUUGUGGCCAUCAACAUGUCCACUUCUAUCUUGAAGGAGUCUCCCGUGGCGGGUCAAGUUUCUUUCUGAGUCUUUACCUGCCGGUAAGUUGUGUGCGUAAUUCAUGCAUUUGCUGUGUGAAGUACCUAAUGUUUGUAUCACCAGACAGUGGCGUAGCAAUGUCAGGUACUACCUGGUGAAGAAAAUUUGUCUCAUGUAUAUUUCCAAAUGUUAUUUUCUAAUUUACUUAACCUUGGAAUUGUACACAUAAGUGCUGAAAGCAGAAUAAGUUUAAUUCAAAUUAAAUGGUCUUGAGUUUUGUUACCAUUUUGGAACUUACCUAUUAGACAUAUCACCACAGUUAAGAUCUGUGUGCUGGAACUUAACUGACUUGAUUUAACAAAAUGCACAUUUAAACUGUCACCUUAAUGCAAAGUUAUUUUGUUUUAAAUUUAAAACUUUGCAUUUCAGUAAUACAGGUUCACGAGCAUUUUUCCAAAAUACAUAGGAUCUGUAAUUUUAUGAAUUGUGCAUUUUUAUUUUUCUUCUUCUUAUUUUACUUCUGGAUUAGAAUCACAUAACAAUUAGGUAUUGGUUAUGGUGAAAUUCCAAUAAUCAACCUUUCCAUAUUCAGAGUUAUUAUACAUUCAAGAUAGUUGUGUUGUUUAUAUAGUACUUAUUGUCGGCACUACACAGUUUUCAAUCACACCAAAGGUACAGUAUGUCUUGAUAGAUGGCAUGUUUGUUCAAUAUGACUUAACUGUGCCUCAUUUUACCAUAAUUCCACCACAAGUCACCUGGCAUCUAGGUAGCACAGAACCUACUUUUUUGGUGCAGCAAAAUCUAGUAACAUACAUUAACUUUUUUUUUCUGAGUGAAUAUUUAACUUAGGCAUACCUAUAAAAAAAUACUUAAGGAAAAUGUAAGUACCUAUUUAUCUGUUCAUGAGAGAUUGAGUAAAUUAUAUUUAAAAAUAAAAAAUAAUAUGGCAGUAUAAACACACCAAAGGGAUUUCAGGUAAAGUUUGCAUUAUACUGAGUGAGGGUAUAACCCUCACAUUAACAGAGGUCUGUUUAAAGAGUAUGUACAUACAUGAUUUGUUGUUUAAGCUAUAAGUAUUGUAGGACAGCAGAAUGGUAUCUAGAGUUCAUGAGUAGUAGACAACAAUAAAUCAUGGCAGUUUAUUUUUUAAGUUAAGAUUUUUAAAAGUUGUUCAGCCUGUGUUAUUUUUCCACAGGUCUACUUUUAGUUGAAAUGAUCAUCAGUGUGUCCAAGUGAAAGGAUUGGAAAAAAAAAAAGUUGGGAAUCUCAGCACAAAUAACUCUUUUGUUUGUGUUGUGGCUCUUCCUGCCAUGGGUGAAAGGGAAGGGGGACUGCUCACUGUCAUUGCUGAUUCGAGCUGUGCCAAGUGGACAUCUGGCUUAUCUUGCAAGUCUUACACCGCCAGUUGCUAAUGACAGGCUGACCGCUGUCCCUUUCAGGGCCUGCUACCCACACUGCUGUGCGCUUGCUUUCCUUAUAGCAUUUAUCAGCAUUUAUCACAGCACAUGAACUAGCAUAAAUAAUAUUACUACAUAUUUAACAGUGUUUAAUUCACUCUUUAUUUUUUUUAUUUAUUGCUUUCAUGCUCACUCUAAUGUUUAACUUGUGAUAUUAAUUAUGUAUGUAUUUAGUACUUUGUUACCAGCACAAUGUUUAUACUUGUUUGUGAUACUUUAUUUAUUAUUUAUUUUAUUUUUAAUGCAUAUUAUAAGAUUAUUUUAAUACAUAAAUUAUUUUUACUUCAAGAAUUUUAGUAGUAAGAACUGCAGGUAUAUGCCAAGAAAAUGUAAUCUUCAACAUAAACAAGUUUUUAGAUUUUAUUUGCUAAGUACUUGACUGCCUUGUGAUAAUUGUCAGUUUCUUAUACAUAGUUUUAUAUUUACCUAGUUCAAAAUGUUGUGUUAAGUAAGUUCAUAUUUUUUGCCUAAAACUUAUUUUUAUUUUUUUAAUGCCAAAAGAAGCAUAUUUCCUGUGCCUUGCCUUCUCACAGAGAGAUGUCAACUAAAUGAGUGCCUGCUCAUAGAGACAAAACACAUAAGAUAGUUACAGAGCCAACAUUUGCACAGUAGUGUUGUUGCAAGUCUGUCUUCCUCAUGUUAGCUCUGAACGUACCAUUAUCUCUCUUGUGCAUGAUCGCAGUUUGUUGCUGUAGAUGGCUGAUUCUAGUAUAGAUAUGUUAGUGACUUUGCAAAAGAAUGUUGAUUCAUAUGUAUGUAAUAGAAAAACUAUUAUUAAAUAUGUACUUUGUACAAAGAAAAUUUCAGAAAACUUAAAGUUGAAAAUGAUUGUAUUCAGUUUUGUAUUUAUUUAGUCAAAUAUUUUUUAAAUAUUGCUUUUAGGAAUAUAAUUUGUGAAAAUACAGCCAUGCAAUAAGUGCAAUGAGGUCUUGUGAAGACAAUUUAAGGAAAAAUAUUUAAAUGUUGGCAUUUGCUAUUUUUAGUUGCAGUCACAAAUCUAUAAACUUAUUUUUAGCUUUAACCUCAGGGAAAAUGAAAUUGUCAAAAGUGUAACUAACUAUAAAACUUUUUUUUAGUAACAAUCAUUUGAAACCAUGAACCAUAAAGAUGUGGUUUAAAUCAUUUAAGACAGUCUCUACUGGGCGAACCAGCCACACAGCAUGCACAAAGAUAUUUUCAGGUGUUAUUCAGCCUGCUUACACAAUAUCACUUUCAGACAAAAACCAAAUUGUGUAGUGCAAAGAGAAGUACAUACGUACUAUAGAAGAAAACUUGCAGAAAGUUGUUUUAGAUUUUUUUUAAUGCUAAAAAAAACUUUUAAACAUUAAAGCACUCUUUUAUAGUAAUGUAUUUUUUACUAUAUGCACAACAUUUUUUUUUUUUUAAAGUGAUAUUUCUAAAUGUGGGUGAAUGGUGCAUAAAAGCUUCAUAAUGUAAAGUCCUAUCGCAGUGCAUGGCUUGUUCUCACGAUACAGAAAUUCGUUGAAGUACGUAUUUCCAUAACUUUCAAGUGUGGAUCUUGAACCUGAGAUUACAUGUAGGUGGUGGAGAAGGAAGUUGAUCUUGUGGAGUAAAUCUGGCCACUAAUAAAAAACAACAAGGGAGACUGAAUAAAAUUAUCAAUUGGUAAAUAGCCUGAGAUUGAAAAAUAUUUCUAAAAUACUGUUAUUUAAGGGAAGAGGGUGGUAGCCUUUUUAAGCCUUGCCCUUCUUUUUUUCCUUUUUGGAUUUGUUCCUGAAUAAAAUUGUUAAAGGUGACAGAAAGAAUUCUUUUGGUAAGGCAUUAUCAUUUACAAAUCAUGUAUAAAUAACAUAAUUUUAAAAUAGAUGUCAUGCAGAGAAAUUAUUGCUGUAAUUGGCUGCAAUCUCAUAUGUAGAGCCCUCAAGAAACGGUUGGUAACUCAGUGAACAUCACCAUCACGAUAGUGGUUGCAAGAUGGGCUGUCUGCCACACUACUCCAGUGCUGCUAAAAAUCACUAAACUUUGAAAAUUAUUCAUGUUUCAACUUUCCUUAAGAGAUCUGUAUGAGUACUGUGAUAUUUAUAAUGCCUAGUUUUAUGUUGUAAAAUUAUUGGUGCAACAAAUAUUGAUUGAUUGGUUUGCUCGUUGCUUUGCAUUUACAAAAAGAUAGUAUAUUCAUAGUCAUGUACAUAUAUAGUUUUAAAUUUUACUUGUAUAUAUCUUCUAAAGUACAUACAAGUUUGUAUUGAAUUAUUUAAUAAAUUCUAUUGUAUUAGUUGCA